GCAACAACCCAUGAGAUCGGUGAUGACUACCCCCAUUUGCCAGCUUUCCAGGGAGAGGUCAAGACCAAGACGCUCUUCAGGCCCAAGGGAGGUAGGGAGGAGGCUCGCCGAGCCCACUCCUGGGAAGAGGUCUUGGGCAAGGCUGUGAUGAGGAGAGGGGAAUGUGUGUGGGACCUUUGAAGACCACUCAGCACUGCUCAGAGCAGAAGGAACGAAACAGGACCGCUGCCUCCUUCACCAGCCUGGAUUUGACUCCCAGCUUUGUCCAGAGAGGGAAUUGGUCCUGAAGAAAGAGUCAGAGAGGCUGGGAAGUCCAAGUUCCGGUGACUGCACCUGGUGAGGACCUUCUCUUGCCGCAUCAUCCCAAGGCAGAAGGUGGAAGAGCAAGAGAGCAUGCUUGUAUGAGAGAGGAAGGGGACCAAAGCCAUCCUUUAUAUCAGGAGCCCACUCCCGUGAUAACUAACCCACACCUGUGACAGUAAUAUGUGAUAUGGUUUGUAUCUGUGUCCCUGUCAAAAUCUCAUGUCAAAUUGUAAUCCCCAGUGUUGAAGGUGGGGCCUGGUGGGAAGUGA